UACGGGGGGGGCAAGCGUUGUUCGGAAUUACUGGGCGUAAAGGGCUCGUAGGUGGCCAACUAAGUCGAACGUGAAAUCCCCAGGCUCAACCUGGGAACUGCGUCCGAUACUGGCAGGCUUGAAUCCGGGAGAGGGAUGUGGAAUUCCAGGUGUAGCGGUGAAAUGCGUAGAUAUCUGGAGGAACACCGGUGGCGAAGGCGGCAUCCUGGACCGGUAUUGACGCUGAGGCGCGAAAGCGUGGGGAGCAAACAGG
rnacentral:rRNA from 1 species